rnacentral:lncRNA from 1 species
GCGUAUCAAGGCUGUGCCGGAUUGACAGGUGAGUGGGAGUCAUGUACUUUGCACCAUGAGCAUCCUUAAUUCAUUUUCAUGAAUGUUACCAAGUGUGAAUUGAUUCCACUUGAGCAUAUUGAUUGAUAUUGUAGUAGAUUCCUCUAUAAUCUUGAUUCUCCAUGCUUGAUUAUUCUGUACAUGCAUUUGAGGGAACAUUGAGAGGAAUUACGAGGGGUUGAUGAGUAAUCAAAUUGAUUCCGAAUUGUGAAAUGAUUUCUUUUGUAAAUUGAUUUCAUUUGCUCUAUUUUAAAGAUUUGUA